AUUGAACGCUGGCGGUAUGCUUAACACAUGCAAGUCGAACGAUGAGAAAGAGCUUGCUCUUUCGAUUAGUGGCGGACGGGUGCGUAACGCGUAGGAAUCUACCUAUUAGUGGGGGACAACUUAGGGAAACUUAAGCUAAUACCGCAUACACCCUACGGGGGAAAGAAGGGGAUCGCAAGACCUUUUGCUAAUAGAUGAGCCUGCGUAGGAUUAGCUAGUUGGUGGGGUAAAAGCUCACCAAGGCGACGAUCCUUAACUGGUUUGAGAGAAUGAUCAGUCACACUGGAACUGAGACACGGUCCAGACUCCUACGGGAGGCAGCAGUGGGGAAUAUUGGACAAUGGGCGAAAGCCUGAUCCAGCAAUACCGCGUGUGUGAAGAAGGCCUUAGGGUUGUAAAGCACUUUCAAUUGGAAGGAAAACCUCGAAGCUAAUACCUUCGAGUUUGACAUUACCUUUAGAAGAAGCACCGGCUAACUCCGUGCCAGCAGCCGCCGCAGUAA
rnacentral:rRNA from 1 species